rnacentral:lncRNA from 1 species
AGUUUAGUUUUCUUGAUUCAUGUUUUGGCAGAUAUUUUGUGUCCAUUCGAAUCCUCAAUCUCUAUUGUGAACUCUGAUACUUUUUCCAAUCAAAUUGGACACUCCUAGCCUUGUAUGUGGCCAACCCUAGCUCACGCUACAGACAAGUGUUGUUGAAUCAGUUUAGUUUUCUUGAUUCAUGUUUUGGCAGAUAUUUUGUGUCCAUUCGAAUCCUCAAUCUUUAAUGUGAACUCUCAUACUUUUUCCAAUCAAAUUGGACACUCCUAGCCUUGUAUGUGGCCAACCCUAGCUCACGCUACAGACAAGUGUUGUUGAAUCAGUUUAGUUUUCUUGACUCAUUUUUUGGCAGAUAUUUUGUGUCCAUUCGAAUCCUCAAUCUCUAAUGUGAAGUGUCAUACUUUUUCCGCUCAAAUUGGAAACUCCUAGCCUUUGAUGUGGCCAACCCUAGCUCACGGUACAGACGGGUAUGGUUGAAUCAGUUCAAUUUUUUUGACUCAUGUUUUGGCAGAUCUUUUGUGUCCAUUCGAAUCCUCAAUCACUAAUGUGAACUCUCAUUCUUUUUCCAAUCAAAUUGGACACUCCUAGCCUUUUAUGUGGCCAACCCUAGCUCACGGUACAGACAAUUGUUGUUGAAUCAGUUUAAUUUUUUUGACUCAUGUUUUGGCAGAUCUUUUGUGUCCAUUCGAAUCCUCAAUCUCUAAUGUGAACCCUCAUACUUUUUCCAAUCAAAUUGGACACUCCUAGCCCUGUAUGUGGCCAACCCUAGCUCACGCUACAGACAAGUGUUGUUGAAUAAGUUUAGUUUUCUUGAUUCAUGUUUUGGCAGAUAUUUUGUGUCCAUUCGAAUCCUCAAUAUCUAAUGUGAUGCCUCAUACUUUUUCCACUCAAAUUGGAAACUUCUAGCCUUUGAUGUGGCCAACCCUAGCUCACGGUACAGACGGAUAUUGUUGAAUCAGUUCAAUUUUUUUGACUCAUGUUUUGGCAGAUCUUUUAUGUCCAUUCGAAUCCUCAAUCUCUAAUGUGAACUCUCAUUCUUUUUCCAAUCAAAUUGGACACUCCUAGCCUUGUAUGUGGCCAACCUUAGCUCACGCUACAGACAAGUGUUGUUGAAUCAGUUUAGUUUUCUUGACUCAUUUUUUGGUAGAUAUUUUGUGUCCAUUCGAAUCCUCAAUCUCUAAGGUGAAGUGUCAUACUUUUUCCGCUCAAAUUGGAAACUUCUAGCCUUUGAUGUGGCCAACCCUAGCUCACGGUACAGACGGAUAUUGUUGAAUCUGUUCAAUUUUUUUGACUCAUGUUUUGGCAGAUCUUUUGUGUCCAUUCGAAUCCUCAAUCUCUAAUGUGAACUCUCAUACUUUUUUCAAUCAAAUUGGACACUCCUAGCGCUGUAUGUGGCCAACCCUAGCUCACGCUACAGACAAGUGUUGUUGAAUCAGUUUAGUUUUCUUGAUUCAUGUUUUGGCAGAUAUUUUGUGUCCAUUCGAAUCCUCAGUCUCUAUUGUGAACUCUGAUACUUUUUCCAAUCAAAUUGGACAGCCUUGUAUGUGGCCAACCCUAGCUCACGCUACAGACAAGUGUUGUUGAUAUAGGUUUUGGCAGAUAUUUUGUGUCCAUUCGAAUCCUCAAUCUUUAAUGUGAACUCUCAUACUUUUUCCAAUCAAAUUGGACACUCCUAGCCUUUUAUGUGGCCAACCCUAGCUCACGGUACAGACAAUUGUUGUUGAAUCAGUUUAGUUUUCUUGACUCAUGUUUUGGCAGAUAUUUUGUGUCCAUUCGAAUCCUCAAUCUCUAAUGUGAAGUGUCAUACUUUUUCCGCUCAAAUUGGAAACUCCUAGCCUUUGAU